AAUUCUCAAUAGACCUGGUUAGUCUUUGACUGAUCUAGGUCGAUUGGAUGUGAGGGUUGCCGGUCUAUCGGAUCGGACUCCCUUUAAAUACAUUAGUGGUUACCGAUCCUCUUCCACUAGGUGUGAUAAUCUAUCUACGCCUUAUCGGAACGAUCUGCUAGUUAUCCGCUUUCUAACCGUCUCGCUCUAGAGACAACUACUUGACA
rnacentral:misc_RNA from 1 species